rnacentral:pre_miRNA from 1 species
AGCUUUUGUAUUCGUGCUGAGGUUUCGUCAACAAACAUUCCAUUAGGGUUGAUGCAACUCCGCGUAUAAAUGAAGUU